rnacentral:rRNA from 1 species
GACGAACGCUGGCGGCGUGCCUAAUACAUGCAAGUUGAGCGCUGAAGGUUGGUACUUGUCCCAACUGGCUGAGCAGCGAACGGGUGAGUAACGCGUGGGGAAUCUGCCUUUGAGCGGGGGACAACAUUUGGAAACGAAUGCUAAUACCGCAUAAAAACUUUAAACACAAGUUUUAAGUUUGAAAGAUGCAAUUGCAUCACUCAAAGAUGAUCCCGCGUUGUAUUAGCUAGUUGGUGAGGUAAAGGCUCACCAAGGCGAUGAUACAUAGCCGACCUGAGAGGGUGAUCGGCCACAUUGGGACUGAGACACGGCCCAAACUCCUACGGGAGGCAGCAGUAGGGAAUCUUCGGCAAUGGACGAAAGUCUGACCGAGCAACGCCGCGUGAGGGAAGAAGGUUUUCGGAUCGUAAAACUCUGUUGGUAGAGAAGAACGUUGGUGAGAGUGGAAAGCUCAUCAAGUGACGGUAACUACCCAGAAAGGGACGGCUAACUACGUG